GUGACAGCAGCCGCGGUAAUACAGAGGGUGCAAGCGUUGUUCGGAAUUACUGGGCGUAAAGCGCGUGUAGGCGGUCUGGUAAGUCGGUCGUGAAAUCCCUUGGCUUAACCAAGGAACUGCGUCCGAAACUGUUGGACUUGAGUAUCGGAGGGGAUGGCGGAAUUCCCGGUGUAGAGGUGAAAUUCGUAGAUAUCGGGAGGAACACCUGUGGCGAAGGCGGCCAUCUGGAAGAUUACUGACGCUGAGACGCGAAAGCGUGGGGAGCAAACAGGAUUAGAUACCCCCGUAGUCC
rnacentral:rRNA from 1 species